UAAAUAAAAUUUUUGUAGUAGGUAUAUAUGCAAUUGAAAGUUUUUGCGUGUAUGGUGGGUUGCUGACCACUAAAGCGUCGUUUUGUGCAACAGCCGUUUUGUGUCCUGUUCGAAUUCGAGUUUUUGUUAAGAAAAAACAACAAUAUCAAUUUGCCCACAAACCGGGUCGCCGGCGCUCAUUCGCGCUCGAACCGUUCGGGCAACAUCACCUACCAAAGCGGCAAACAUGUCUGAAGACAAAGAGUUACACUUUCUGAAAUCAAUCUAUAAACUUCUUGAAGAAGAGUGCGUUAUUGUUGAUACCAACAGUCAAUCUGUGACUAAUUAUGUAGAUCCUGAAGAACUUAAG